rnacentral:rRNA from 1 species
UACGAACCGUCCAAACGUUAUUCGGAAUUACUGGGCUUAAAGAGUUCGUAGGCGGUUAGGAAAGUUGGGUGUGAAAGCCCUCGGCUCAACCGAGGAAUUGCGCUCAAAACUACCUGACUCGAGGAAGAUAGAGGUGAGCAGAACUGAUGGUGGAGCGGUGAAAUGCGUUGAUAUCAUCAGGAAUACCGGAGGCGAAGGCGGCUCACUGGGUCUUUUCUGACGCUGAGGAACGAAAGCUAGGGGAGCAAACGGG